AGUAUUUGAGGUAGAAAUUUGUGCUACUAUACACCUUGAUACAAGGUUUAAGAGAUGUGGGGAGGGGCACUCCCACCAAAUACU
ncrna:unclassified sequences skipping-rope RNA